CAAAUCCUACCCAAUGGAACGGAUGAAUGGAUAGUAUCAUCACGAUGGCCCUCCUAGCCUAGGCUCCUCCUCCUCCUCCUCCUCUCACCAGCAACCAGCAAUCUCCUUCCUUCCUCUCAUGACACUCUCAUAAUGCUAACAUGCAGCCAAUCACCAUACCCCCUCUCUUCCCUCUUCAGAAACAACCCAACCCUCCCAAAUCUUUGCCUAGCAAAGACGACAAUAACCAUAACAACAUCUAAAGACACUGGCCUUCUCUUCCGACAAAAACUAACUUACCUAACAAACCUUAAAAUAAACACUCAAAAAGCUCUCACUCUAAACCCAAACAUCCGUUCCACUCCUCUCUCUACUCUCCUCGCCAUUGAAAACUGUCUCUCCUCCAUGGGCUUCCACCGUUCCUCCAUUGGCCGUAUCCUCGACAUGCACCCUUGCCUCCUCACCUCUGACCCCCACCUCCACCUCCACCCCACCUUCGAUUUCCUCUUAAAUGAAGUCGAAAUCCCAUUUCUUGAUAUCUCUAGGUCAAUCAAUCGCUGUCCCAGAUUGUUAGUUUCCAGCGUGUCUAAUCAAUUGAGGCCUGCUUUUGUUUUUCUAAAAGAGUUGGGCUUCGUGGGUCCACGUAAGUUAAAUUAUCAAACUACUUUGUUGCUUGUUUAUAACGUGGAGAGAAGUUUGAUGGGUAAGAUCGAGUUUUUGAUGGGGCUGGGGUUUGAGUUUGUCGAGGUUAAAAAUAUGGUUGUGAGGGCUCCUGGGAUUCUGACUCUCAGUGUGGAGAGGAACAUGAAGCCUAAAUUUGAAUACUUUGUGAGAGAAAUGAAGGGGGAUUUAGGGGAAUUGAAGAAGUUUCCGCAAUUUUUCUCGUUUAGUUUGGAGAGGAAGAUUAAGCCUAGGCAUAGAAUGUUGGUGGAGUAUGGGCUGAAGAUGCCAUUGUCGAGCAUGUUAAAGGUUAAUGACGGGGAAUUCAACGCUAGAUUGUUUGAAAUGCGGCUGAGAAUGGUUGAGGAGAGUUAACUUGAUCGGAUAUAAUCAACAAUCGGCUAUACAACUUAUGUUGCUUUGGUGAAGACUUUGAAGGUGCAAAGAUGAAAAUAAAGGAGAAUAACGCAUUCUGUGCUUGGUAGGCCUCCUCUUCCUUCCUGAUCAAGUGUUAAUAUGUUGUGGGACCUAAAUACUGGGAGCAUUGCUGAAGCUCUAUUCAGUUUGAAUACAGGCUCAAAAUCUUGAUAUCCAUCCUCGGUAAUUAGAUGGUUGAGGGAGGAGCUUGUGCAUGACAGCAUGGGGACAUCGAUCGCACUACAGGUGACUGAUAAAGCUGCACAGUUAUCUUAAAGUGAGCAAAUACCCUGUCUAUGAAUACAGUUCCAGUGAAUGUAUGUUAGCCAAGAUGAAAAAGGUUACCUGUAAGCUAUAUCCAAACAUAGCCUAGUCAAUAGAGGUGGAAAAGAUAAACAUACGAAGGAAGCUUUGUAAAUUUACCAAAUUGUUGCAAUUAAGCACCGCGAAGGGUGUUUAUGCAACUGACUGCUUUGGAUGCAAUGUGGCAGAAAGCUGCUGCUUGCAAUUCCAUCUGUAGGUUCUGAUAAAUUUCUUCAUCAUAUGACAACAAGGUAUUAGACAAA